GAAAAAGUACGCAAGAACUGCUAACUCUAUGCCUCCAUGUCUAACAACAUGGCUUUUUCA
rnacentral:tRNA from 2 species